CACUGUCUGAAACCCAUGUUUUUAUACCCAGAUCAUGCCAUGGGCCAUCCACUAUCUUCGUGUUCUCUGUUGCUCAGAAGCUGACAUGUGUGACUGCACUGAGUGAUGUCAUAAAGUGAUAACCUUGACAGUCAAAAAGAAAAAAAGAGAGAACCCAAGAAGAGAUACCCUACAUACUCCAAGGGAGCUGCGUUUCACAUGGGAAAUGCAGAGGAACAGAGCAUUUGGUCAUUUAUGUCUUCACGGUCAAAGCCAAUGGCUAAAUUAUUCUUGCCAAAGUUAAAUUUAAUUACCAAGCGGCAUGUGCAACAAUAAGAUAUUUUCAAAAGCAACUUUAAUAAUGUAGCCUAUAGAGUAGUAAAAAAUAUUUUCAGUGUCAUCAAUAUAAUGAAAAAAAUUAAGAUGAUUUUCUGAUAAUUACUUCUGAAAGAAUUGCUACAACACAAGGAUAAUUAAGGCCAACCAGGGAGAUAAAAACCUUCAGAUUCAAGAUGUGAAGAAAUGUCAGAGGGUGUGAAACAAUUGUUUUAAUUUUUUUCUCAUUUGUAAAUUCAUUUUAUGCCUCCAAGUGCAAUAUAAAUUAUUUACCAAAAUUAGCUGUAAUCACUUACAGGGACAAGUACAAGCAGUUCACACAUAAACCUGUAUCGUUGCUUUAUUUGCAUGUAAACUGUGCAAAUGUCUAAUUAGAGAGGCAAGUAUAGAAGUAAACAAUGCUUAAUGUUGUAAAAAUUCCCUGCUCCCUCCCCUCUUCUGAUUUAAGGAAGAGGUAAGAAGAAAAGAGCCAGUGGCACAAGGGGGGGGAAAGAGUUCUUAUUUGAAAACAUCUUUAGAAAUCCUAUUUCAAGAUAGAAUUAUGUAUGACUUUCAUCCAAAUUCUAAUUCUCUGCCUCAAUUGUCAUUCAGGUUUCUGAAAUGUGCUAGAGAUAUUCUUUUUGACUUGAAAUAUAUGCCCUCAGAGAAGCCUGACCACAGGCUCACUCACUUUAUCUUAUGAGGUUGAGGUCUUCCCUCUCCCUCUGCCUGAGCUCUGGUCCCGUGUCUCUGCUUGGACAUUAGUCAUGCUCUCCAGUCCUUAGGUGAUUCUCUUGGACAAGGACAACUUGCUCGCUACCCAGUAAGAUACCAUAAAAAGUGUCUUCAAUUAGCCAGCUGAGCACUAAAGUUCAUUAUUUAUUAAUGUAUCUUUCCUGUUCUGUUUUGAACAGGAACUUAGUCUCUUUUUGGGCCAGUGGGAACAGGACGCUGCGGGGCCCACAUACCCCCGUGCAUUCCUUAUUUAAUCGUUACUGCUUCUUUUAGGUGAAUAUCAGUGUUGAGGGUCUUGGAACGAUGCAGCCUCAUCCACACAUUGCUGGGAGGCAGGUCUGUGAUGAGAUGAUUCUUUCUGGAAUCAAACCGGCAUCUCAUCGCAUUGCGCCAUGGUCACAAGCCCCGUGCACUGUGGACAAACCUUGGCAGUCAAUAACAGCAACUACCUUGCCUGUUACUCAGGGCAGUGCCCUGUCAUAAGGGAGUCAGAAACGAUGGUGCUGAAGAGAUUGCCAGCGCAUCCCAUGCCCUUUGGCAGAUGAGAAACUGAAGGUGUUCAGUGUGGUUCCUGGCAAAGCCUAAUUUUCACUCACGGAUGUGAAUAUAGAAACUUAACCCUUACUUGGCAUGACAUAUGCCUCACACACACUGGAACUUGAAGGUUCUGUGUUAAAUGAAUCUGUAAAAAGAACCAGUCUUCUUCUUCUUCUUUGCCCUUGAACAUCCAUUUUCCAUAGCUAGUAUGUCUGUGUGUAUGCACGUGUACACACGCACACACAAACACAUACUCAAAACCUGUGUAAAUACAUAGUUUACGCUGGUGACUUGGGGAAAAUCUUUUUGGUUGCUCAGCUCUUCGUGGUGAAUGAUUCUCAGUACAACCUCAAGUUCAGCAAGCUGUGUACAAGGAUGGUAGACACUCCACGGAGCCAGUAGUAAUAGCAGAGUCAAUUUAUAAGCAUCGCCAUGCCUGCAUCUUUAACUUUGCCUGUAGCUGUAGGCUAGACUGCAUUUCAAUCAGUUCGAGUUCAGCUGUCUGUUUUAUUACACCCAGGCCAGUAACACUUUGGGGAUUUUUAGUCCCUUCAAUGACAAAUGUAUAUUCAACCGCUGCUGUGAGCAGCAGCCCACAAUGCAGGUCACAAGGACAACAAACUGAGUGGGUAUGUCAGAGAAAUGUUCAGAGAAAGAUCUCCAUAGGUGUCUGCAAUUUGCCUCUACCUUCAAGCUUUUCAAUCUUUGGGAAGCAUUUUGGAAAGUUGUUUUUCAAGUCAUAUAUCUUUAUUUUUAAAACUCUGCGUCUCUUUAAAAGAACUAGAUUGCCUAAGACAUUUCUAACAACAUUUUAUACAAAUUUAACUCAUUCCACUGACAGACAAUGACAAGAUUUUUACCUCGCCUAAUGCUGUGGCUGGUUGGGUGUAAUGUUUUUUUUGAGACAGAUCAUGAAGUCUAUUCACAGAUGCCACUCUGAGAGUCUUAUUUCGCAAAGCUGAAAUAACUGUCCUUAAAGGGUACAGUGCACCAGCUCUGCUUAGUGAGACACCGAGAGAAAUCCACCUCCACUGUGUUGUCACUCGGCCAACACAAUUGAGAGAAAAAGAAAAAGUGCCUUCCUACAGGAAAAGUGUCAGCUGUGCCAAUUGAGAACAGACAUUGAAAUGGCCCUAAUAUAUUUUUACCUAAAUGCCUGGCCCAAGCUACACUGGUGUACGAGAAUCAUCUCUGUAACGUUCUUUUAGUAUAUAAAGGAGGUAAGAAAUUUUCAUCAAGUCUCAUCAAUCAACUGAAAACUUUCUUUCUGCUGACCCCCAGAUCUGGCUCCAUCUGUUAUAAAAGUCCAAUUAAUUUGUGCAAGAUGCAAAUUUUAUUUAACUGAAAGAAAGUCUGUGAAAUUUUAAUUGUUGGCCUUCACUUGAGGCCCUCCCACCACUGAAUUCCACAUCCAAAUGCAUUUUAUGAGAGAGUUGAGAGCAACAAUAACUUUGAUUUGCUUUCCUCAAAAAUUUUUUUUUUUUGGGGGGGUCUUUAGGGCUGCACCUGCGGCAUAUGGAGGUUCCCAGGCUAGGGGUCAAAUCAGAGCUGUAGCUGCUGGCCUACGCCACAGCCACAGCAAUGCAGGAUCCACCUACACCAUCUGUGACCUACACCACUGCUCAUGGCAACACCGAAUCCUUAACCUACUCAGCAAGGCCAGGGAUUGAACCUGCAUCCUCAUGGAUGAACCUAGUCAGGUUCGUUAAUUGCUGAACCACGACAGGAGCUCUGCUUUUCUCAAUUCUUAUGCCCACAACAUUACAAGCUAAUCAUUGACAAUUAAUAUCAGAAUAUCAAGAGAAUAAGUGUUUUUAAUGACUGAAUCUUUUUUUUCUUUACUAGUUUGUGACAUGCAUACCUUUUCCUGUCCUGUACUAUUUCCUGAGCCUCAGAAAUAAAGCAAUAUUUUCCAUAUUGUGUCCUAUAGGACUACUGGCAAAAUCAUAUAACCAGACUGGUCUUAAUCAAACCUAGGUGAGGACUGGUCUCCUCAGAGAACAAUCAAAAUAUGAUUUGAUCCUCAUAUAAAAUUUGCAGCAAACAGUGAGAUCAUAUUCAAGUCAAUACUUGUUUAACAUCAAAUUUUAUAACUGGUGCAGCUCGUGUAGAAAACAGUAUGGAAGUUCCUUGAAAGUUAAAAGUAGAGUUGCCAUAAGUUCCAGCAGUCCCACUCCUAGGCAUAUGUCUGGAGAAAACUACAAUUCAAAAAGAUAUAUGCACCCAAAUGUUCACAUCAGUACUAUUUACAAUAACUAACACAUGGAAGCAACCUAAAUGUCCAUCAAAAGAUGAAGGGAUCAAAAAGAUGUGGUACAUAUACACAAUGGAAUACUACUUGUCCACAAAAAAGAAUGAAAUGAUACAAUUUGCAGCAACGGGAAUGGACCUAGAGAUUAUCAUACUAAGUAAAGUAUGUCAGGCAGAGAAAGACAAAUACCAUACGAUAUUGCUUAUAGGUAGAAGCUAAAAUACGACACAAAUGAACUUACCAAACAGAAACAGACUCGCAGAUGUAGAAAACAUACUUAUGGUUCCCAAAGGGGAAGAGGGGCACGAGAGGGAUAAAUUAGGAGUUUGCGAUUAAGAGACAUGAAGUAUUAUAUAUAAAAUAGAUAAACUACAAGGUUCAACUGUAUAGCACAGGGAACUAUAUUCAAUAUCCUAUAAUAAAACAUAAUGGAAAGAAGAUGAAAAAGAAUAUGUACAUAUAUUAUAACUGAAUCUCUUUGGUGUAUACCAGAGGCUAACACAACAGUGUAAAUCAACUAUAUUUCAAUAAAAAAGACGUUGUUAAAAAUAUAUAUCACAUUUGUUCCCAGAAAUAAAAUUUAAAAGGAGACAUUGAGUAUUAAUAUGUCAGACUACAAAAUGAGUAUAUAUAUUUGGAAGUGUUAUAACUAUGUAUUCUGUAUGUGUUAUUCAGUGUUUCCCUUUCAUGUUCUUUUUGCCAGAACUUGGCAACACUUCAAAUAAUUAGGGAAAGAAAAAAGUAUCUCUAGGGAAUAUCUUUCAAUAGGAUUUUGUUUGAAGGUGCAUGUAUUCAAUGGCAUGGUUUUCCCUUCUUAAAACCUUUGCUGGACACAGAGCACCAAGCACUUAUUUCUGUGGAGGUUUCUAUUUGUGUGUUCACAAGAACUAAAUCAUUUAAAAUGUCCCUCUUCGUUGUGAAUUUAAUUUUUAAAAAUUAAACUGUGGACCUACUGCCUUAAAGCAUGAUUAAAACUCUGAAAACUCCUUAGCAUUCCAUUUGAGGGUGGGUUCCCCCCAAAAGCCUGUGAAUUUACAUGAAGCAGGUAUGCAGAAGUUGAAUUACACUAGAUUUUUUAUUUCUUUGCCUCUAUCUUCCUUCAGCCCGAUCCCAAGUCUCUCCUCAACACCACCACCUCAUUCCUUGGAAAAUUCCUCUCUCCCUCAGCUAUCUCUUGUC
rnacentral:lncRNA from 1 species